rnacentral:rRNA from 1 species
GGUUAAUUGCAAACCUUUACGGUUGGAUGCCCUUGGCAUUAUAGGCGAUUAAGGACGUUUAAGUCUGCGAAAAGCUGUGGUGAGCCGACAAAAUGCAUUUGAGCCACAGAUUUCCGAAUGGGGAAACCC